CUGACGGGUGAGUAAUGUCUGGGAAACUGCCUGAUGGAGGGGGAUAACUACUGGAAACGGUAGCUAAUACCGCAUAACGUCGCAAGACCAAAGAGGGGGACCUUCGGGCCUCUUGCCAUCAGAUGUGCCCAGAUGGGAUUAGCUAGUAGGUGGGGUAACGGCUCACCUAGGCGACGAUCCCUAGCUGGUCUGAGAGGAUGACCAGCCACACUGGAACUGGGACACGGUCCAG
rnacentral:rRNA from 1 species